GUCUACAGCCAUACCACCCUGAACACAUCUGAUCUCAGAAGCGAAGCCGGGUCGGGCCUGGUUAUACUUGGAUGAGAGAAUAAUGCACUUGGGAUUCUUUCACAUUGUUGGGUUGCAGUAGGUC
rnacentral:rRNA from 1 species